UCAGCACCAGUGUGUCAGUAUUUGGA
rnacentral:piRNA from 1 species